rnacentral:rRNA from 1 species
AUUGAACGCUGGCGGCAGGCCUAACACAUGCAAGUCGAGCGGAUGAGGGUAGCUUGCUACCUGAUUCAGCGGCGGACGGGUGAGUAAUGCCUAGGAAUCUGCCUGGUAGUGGGGGACAACGUUUCGAAAGGAACGCUAAUACCGCAUACGUCCUACGGGAGAAAGUGGGGGAUCUUCGGACCUCACGCUAUCAGAUGAGCCUAGGUCGGAUUAGCUAGUUGGUGGGGUAAAGGCUCACCAAGGCGACGAUCCGUAACUGGUCUGAGAGGAUGAUCAGUCACACUGGAACUGAGACACGGUCCAGACUCCUACGGGAGGCAGCAGUGGGGGAUAUUGGACAAUGGGCGCAAGCCUGAUCCAGCCAUGCCGCGUGUGUGAAGAAGGUCUUCGGAUUGUAAAGCACUUUAAGUUGGGAGGAAGGGCAGUAAGUUAAUACCUUGCUGUUUUGACGUUACCGACAGAAUAAGCACCGGCUAACUCUGUGCCAGCGGCCG